rnacentral:rRNA from 1 species
GACGAACGCUGGCGGCGUGCUUAACACAUGCAAGUCGAACGGAAAGGCCCUGCUUGUGUGGGGUGCUCGAGUGGCGAACGGGUGAGUAACACGUGAGUAACCUGCCCUUGACUUUGGGAUACCUUCAGGUAACUGGGGUUAAUACCGGAUAGCAUCUCCUGCUGCAUGGGGGGGGUUGGAAAGUUUCGGCGGUUGGGGAUGGACUCGCGGCUUAUCCGCUUGUUGGUUGGGUAGUGGCUUACCAAGGCUUUGGCGGGUAGCCGGCCUGGGAGGGGGACCGGCCACCAUUGGACUGGGGUACCGGCCAGGCUCCUACGGGGGGGAAGAGGGGGGAAUAUUGGCCAAAGGGCCGAAGGCUGAUUGCAGAACCGCGGGGUGGGGAAGACGGCCUUUGGGGUGUAAAACGCUUUUCGCCGGUGCCGAGCUGUGGUGACGGUAACUGGAGAAGAAGCACCGGCUAACUACGUG